rnacentral:tmRNA from 1 species
GGGGCUGAUUUGGUUUCGACAUUUAAAAGUUAUUUAUAUAAGUCAGGUCAAAGUUUGUACUCUUUGUAAAAAAGACUAAAUUAUUAUAAUAAAUGCUAACAACAUAAUGUCUUUUAUUUUUAAAACAGUAACUCCAAAAAAUCAUUUAAAUGUUUUAAGUUUUGCUGUUUAAUAUUUAAUCUAGUUUAUUAAAUAUUUUUUCAUUAUAGCUAGACUUUUUUCUAGCAUAUAGUUUAGAAUAAAUUUAAAUUUUAAAAACUGUUCAAAUCAUUUGGACUAAACCUGUAAAUACGUGUAUAAAUAAACUUUAGAUGGACAUGGGUUCAAUUCCCAUCAGUUCCA